rnacentral:misc_RNA from 1 species
AAGUCGUAGCAAGGUUUCCGUAGGUGAACCUGCGGAAGGAUCAUUAACACGUAAAAAACCCCCCCCGUACACUCGGGCAGGAGCUAUGCCAAAGGGUCCCCAUGCCCCCUUAUAACCCCACAGUUUAAUGUGAAGCUCAAUGUAAUACAUUGGGUAAACAACUGUUAACAAUGGAUAUCUUGGUUCUC